AGAGUUUGAUCCUGGCUCAGGAUGAACGCUGGCGGCGUGCUUAACACAUGCAAGUCGAACGGAGAUCAAUCUAACAGAGACUUCGGUUGAAGUUGUUUUGAUCUUAGUGGCGGACGGGUGAGUAACGCGUGGGUAACCUGCCUCAUACUGGGGGAUAACAGCCAGAAAUGGCUGCUAAUACCGCAUAAGCGCACAGGAGCGCAUGCUCUGGUGUGAAAAACUCCGGUGGUAUGAGAUGGACCCGCGUUGGAUUAGCUGGUUGGCAGGGCAGCGGCCUACCAAGGCGACGAUCCAUAGCCGGCCUGAGAGGGUGAACGGCCACAUUGGGACUGAGACACGGCCCAGACUCCUACGGGAGGCAGCAGUGGGGAAUAUUGCACAAUGGGGGAAACCCUGAUGCAGCGACGCCGCGUGAAGGAAGAAGUAUCUCGGUAUGUAAACUUCUAUCAGCAGGGAAGAAAAUGACGGUACCUGACUAAGAAGCCCCGGCUAACUACGUGCCAGCAGCCGCGGUAAUACGUAGGGGGCAAGCGUUAUCCGGAUUUACUGGGUGUAAAGGGAGCGUAGACGGAAGAGCAAGUCUGAUGUGAAAGGCAGGGGCCCAACCCCUGGACUGCAUUGGAAACUGUCCUUCUUGAGUGCCGGAGGGGUAAGCGGAAUUCCUAGUGUAGCGGUGAAAUGCGUAGAUAUUAGGAGGAACACCAGUGGCGAAGGCGGCUUACUGGACGGUAACUGACGUUGAGGCUCGAAAGCGUGGGGAGCAAACAGGAUUAGAUACCCUGGUAGUCCACGCGGUAAACGAUGAAAUACUCGCGGUUUGGUUCGUUAGAGUCAGCCGCCAAGCGAAAGCGUUAAGUAUUCCACCUGGGGAGUACGCCGGCAACGGUGAAACUCAAAGGAAUUGACGGGGGCCCGCACAAGCGGAGGAACAUGUGGUUUAAUUCGAUGAUACGCGAGGAACCUUACCCGGGCUUGAACUGCCAGUGACUCAUGCAGAGACGCAUGUUUCUUCGGACACUGGCGGAGGUGCUGCAUGGUUGUCGUCAGCUCGUGCCGUGAGGUGUCAGCUUAAGUGCCAUAACGAGCGCAACCCUUCUCCCUGUUUACCAUCGGGUAAUGCCGGGCACUCCAGGGACACUGCCAUCGUAAGAUGUGAGGAAGGUGGGGAUGACGUCAAAUCAGCACGGCCCUUACGUCCGGGGCUACACACGUGUUACAAUGGCAGGUACAGAGAGAUGGUCCCUUGCAAAAUGGAUCAAAUCCUUAAAGCCUGUCUCAGUUCGGACUGGGGUCUGCAACCCGACCCCACGAAGCUGGAUUCGCUAGUAAUCGCGCAUCAGCCAUGGCGCGGUGAAUACGUUCCCGGGCCUUGCACUCACCGCCCGUCA
rnacentral:rRNA from 1 species